UCAGGCAUCCACGGCGCUUUAAAAUAGUUGUUAUAGAUAUUCAAAUAACCCUGAAACAAAUGCUUAGGGAUUUUAUUGGUAUCAGGGUUAAUCGUGCCAAGAAAAGCGGCAUGGUCAAUAUAACCAGUAGUGUUAACAGUCGGGAGAGGAGUGGCAUUAACACCAUCCUUCAUGAACUUAAUCCACUGUUCACCAUAAACGUGACGAUGAGGGACAUAAAAAGUAAAAAUGUC
rnacentral:rRNA from 1 species